rnacentral:rRNA from 1 species
CCCCUAGAUGUUCUGGGCCGCACGCGCGCUACACUGAACAGUUCAACAAGUCUUAACCUUGGCCGAUAGGUCUGGGUAAUCUUUGAACGCUGUUCGUGAUUGGGAUAGACCUUUGCAAUUAUGGGUCUUCAACGAGGAAUUCCUAGUAAACGCAAGUCAUCAGCUUGCAUUGAUUACGUCCCUGCCCUUUGUACACACCGCCCGUCGCUACUACCGAUCGUUCCAGUUAAUGAACGCCUUGGAUUGGUCCCGUAAGCGGGGAAACCUGCUCGCGGUUGUGCCGAGAAGAAGUGUAAGUUAUCUGGGAUAGAGGUCGUAAAAGUCGUAACA